AACGAACGCUGGCGGCAUGCCUAACACAUGCAAGUCGAACGAGACCUUCGUGUCUAGUGGCGCACGGGUGCGUAACGCGUGGGAACCUGCCCUUAGGUUCGGAAUAACUCCCCGACAGGGGUGCUAAUACCGGAUAAUGUCUUCGGACAACAGAUUUAUCGACUUUGGAUGGGCGCGCGUUGGUUUGGCUAGUUGGUAGGGUAAAAGCCGACCACGGCGAGGAUCCAUAGCUGGUCUGAGAGGAUGGGCAGCCACACUGGGACUGAGACACGGCCCAGACUCCUACGGGAGGCAGCAGUGGGUAAUAUUGGACAAUGGGCGAAAGCCUGAUCCAGCAAUGCUGGGUGAGUGAUGAAGGCCUUAGGGUUGUAAAGCUCUUUUACCCGGGAUGAUAAUGACAGUACCGGGAGAAUAAGCUCCGGCUAACUCCGUG
rnacentral:rRNA from 1 species